CGGGGUGAGUAAUGUCUGGGAAACUGCCUGAUGGAGGGGGAUAACUGCUGGAAACGGUAGCUAAUACCGCAUAACGUCGCAAGACCAAAGAGGGGGACCUUCGGGCCUCUUGCCAUCGGAUGUGCCCAGAUGGGAUUAGCUAGUAGGUGGGGUAACGGCUCACCUAGGCGACGAUCCCUAGCUGGUCUGAGAGGAUGGCCAGCCACACUGGAACUGAGGCACGGUCCAG
rnacentral:rRNA from 1 species